AUGAACGCUGGCGGCGUGCCUAAUACAUGCAAGUCGAGCGAACGGACGAGAAGCUUGCUUCUCUGAUGUUAGCGGCGGACGGGUGAGUAACACGUGGAUAACCUACCUAUAAGACUGGGAUAACUUCGGGAAACCGUAGCUAAUACCGGAUAUAUUUUGAACCGCAUGGUUCAAAAGUGAAAGACGGUCUUGCUGUCACUUAUAGAUGGAUCCGCGCUGCAUUAGCUAGUUGGUAAGGUAACGGCUUACCAAGGCAACGAUGCAUAGCCGACCUGAGAGGGUGAUCGGCCACACUGGAACUGAGACACGGUCCAGACUCCUACGGGAGGCAGCAGUAGGGAAUCUUCCGCAAUGGGCGAAAGCCUGACGGAGCAACGCCGCGUGAGUGAUGAAGGUCUUCGGAUCGUAAAACUCUGUUAUUAGGGAAGAACAUAUGUGUAAGUAACUGUGCACAUCUUGACGGUACCUAAUCAGAAAGCCACGGCUAACUACGUG
rnacentral:rRNA from 1 species